rnacentral:rRNA from 1 species
UACGAAGGGGGCUAGCGUUGUUCGGAUUAAUUGGGCGUAAAGGGCGCGUAGGCGGCUACGCACGUCCGUUGUGAAAUCGCUCGGCUCAACUGGGCGGGGUCAGCGGAUACGGCGUAGCUGGAGCAAGCUAGGGGGCAAUGGAAUUCCCGGUGUAGUGGUGGAAUGCGUAGAUAUCGGGAGGAACACCAGUGGCGAAGGCGGUUGCCUGGAGCUUUGCUGACGCUGAUGCGCGAAAGCGUGGGGAGCGAUCCGG